AAAAUCAUAAACUUAUUCUUAUGCACACAAGCUUCUCUUUCUCUCAGACUUCUUUCAAAAUUCUUCACCGGCACGUUUGAGCUUCACUGUGUCAACUUUCUGACUACGAAAAUGUUGGAUCUCUGUGACAACUUGGGUCACGUUGUUUACGCCACCUUGUUAUUCCAACAACUACGAAACCCCAACGUGUUCUCUUACAAUGCAAUCAUCAGAACCUACACCUAUAAUCAGAAACAUUCCCUAGCAAUUGGUAUUUUCAACCAAAUGCUCACAUAUGCAACAAAAUCAACGUUACCAGACAAGUGACAUGUUCACGUUCCCGUUUGGGAUAAAAUCGUGCGCGGGUCUUCUUUGCCUUCUACUCGGGCAACAAGUUCACGCGCACGUGUGCAAAUUUGACACCAAGUCGCAUGCAAUAACGAAUAACGCUCUGAUUGAUAUGUACACAAAGUGUACCGAUGUGAGUGGUGCGUACCAAGUGUUUGAGGAAAUGACUGAGCUAGAUGCGGUUUCUUGGAAUAGUUUUAUAUCGGGGCACGCGAGAUUAGGACAAACGAAGAGUGCGAGGGAAGAGUUUGAUGAAAUGCCUUGUAGGACAAUUAUGUCUUGAACGACUAUGAUUAAUGGGUAUGCUAGAGCAGGAUGUUAUGUUAAUGCUUUGGAGAUUUUCCGUGAGAUGCAAGUGGUGGGUAUUGAGCCUGAUGAGAUCAGUGUUAUAUCUGUUCUACCCGCGUGUGCGCAGCUUGGGGCUCUUGAGGUUGCACAGAUGGAAGACAAUGCUUGUCAAUUUGGGUUGUGUAGGAAGAUUCGUGGAAGGAAACGUUUCCCGUUGGAACUGAGUGGGACCAAUUGGAUUUCGUGUAUCAAUCCAAGAGGGAUUUCUCAAAUCUAGAAGUGAGUAUUUGGAUUCGGGCUGCUUAGGUUUUGUUUAGUUUGGUGCUCUCUUUGGUUGCAUUAAGCGAAAGCAGGACUGCCUAUUGGUUACAAGGGUUGUCAAUUUCAUAGAGUUAUUAAGGAUUUUAUGAUUCAGGCUGGUGAUUUUGUAAAGGGUGAUGGUAGUGGAUGUGUUUCCAUGUAUGGACUCAAGUUGGAUGAUGAAAACUUCACCGCCAAACACACUGGCCCUGGCCUUCUGUUGAUGUUAUGUGUUUGCUUUUUAUACCUUCUGUCAUUUUGGGUUAUAUGAAAAUAGGGACUGUUGAUGGAAUGGACGCACAAGGAUAAAUAUGUACCUGUAUGGUAUUAUUUAUUGUGAUAAUUGUAAUGUAUCAAUUCUGAAUGCUACCUUUUUUUUUUGGUGGGGUGCAUUGGGGAUUUUCUGGAUACAUUUUAAGCACGCGUGAAAGUUCCUUUACUGGAUGGUAGUAUUUUUUAUUGCAUUUUUGUUAUGCAUAUGGAUAUUUUAUGCUAUUUGCAGGGAUUGUAAUCUUUAUUCGGUGGAGCUAAGCUAGUAGACUUCAUUUUCUAUCCAAAAACACGAUCUAAUGACCAUGUAACCAACCCAGUUCAGAGUGUCGAGAAAACAUUUCAACUUACUAGAGCAGACAAAGGCUUGGUUUCAAAACCAGAAUUUGAUGUUGAGGCUUGGUGUAUGCUUCUGAACGACAAGGUUCCAUUCAGGAUGCAGUGGGUGCCACUGUAUGCAGACCUGCAGGUCAAUGGUGUUCCCGUUCGUGCAACUAACAGACCUGGUUCCCAAUUGCUUGGUGCUAAUGGUCGGGAUGACGGUCCAAUUGUUCGUAUUGUUCGAAAGCGCAGUAUGCAGCAGGUAGAUUGCAUUCAAAGCUUGAUAAAUUUACAAGCAAACUAUUUUGAAUUGCUGUUGGUUCCUUAAUCCAAGCUUGUGGCAUUGGAAUAGUAAAGUUUGAAGUAUCUCCCUGUUUGAAGUUUGGCCAAUGUUCCUAAUGUUGGUCUUUUUUGGUUGAUUUAUUAAAAAUUAGAAAUUUGAAAUAAUUUGUCAUGCUUUUUUAUUAUCUUUCAUGAAGAUGUUUGUUCACCCAUUAUAAAUUGGAAAGCACAUGUAUGGGCCUCAUAAAGUGAUGCUUUUAUUCUAAAGUAAGUUAAAAUA